GAGAGACCGCGUUGAUCUGCUCAAGUAGAAUAUAGUUAAAACCAGGCACCCUUUGGCGAAGCUUUACCACAGUUACAGCGCGCGCCUGACGGCUGUCAUUCUGCAAGUGGGAACUUAAUGUCGGAGGAACAGGCGUUCCCAAGCCCGCCUUCAUCGGAUGAUGGGUGCGCAGCGGUCGUUUGUCACCGUCGGUCGGAGUUUCACACUGGCAAAGGGGUUUUCUCC